GAGAAGCUGGCGGCAUGCCUAACACAUGCAAGUCGAACGAGACCUUCGGGUCUAGUGGCGCACGGGUGCGUAACGCGUGGGAAUCUGCCCUUGGGUUCGGAAUAACAGCCAGAAAUGGCUGCUAAUACCGGAUGAUGUCUUCGGACCAAAGAUUUAUCGCCCAGGGAUGAGCCCGCGUAGGAUUAGCUUGUUGGUGAGGUAAAAGCUCACCAAGGCGAUGAUCCUUAGCUGGUCUGAGAGGAUGAUCAGCCACACUGGGACUGAGACACGGCCCAGACUCCUACGGGAGGCAGCAGUGGGGAAUAUUGGACAAUGGGCGAAAGCCUGAUCCAGCAAUGCCGCGUGAGUGAUGAAGGCCUUAGGGUUGUAAAGCUCUUUUGCCAGGGAUGAUAAUGACAGUACCUGGAGAAUAAGCUCCGGCUAACUCCGUGCCAGCAGCCGCGGUAAUACGGAGGGAGCUAGCGUUGUUCGGAAUUACUGGGCGUAAAGCGCGCGUAGGCGGCUUUGUAAGUUAGAGGUGAAAGCCCGGGGCUCAACCCCGGAACUGCCUUUAAGACUGCAUCCGCUUGAAUCCGGGAGAGGUGAGUGGAAUUCCCAGUGUAGAGGUGAAAUUCGUAGAUAUUCGGAAGAACACCANUGGCCGAAGGGCGGCUCACUGGACCCGGUAUUGACCGCUUGAUGUGCCAAAGCC
rnacentral:rRNA from 1 species